rnacentral:rRNA from 1 species
CCUACGUGUGGCUGCAGUGAGGAAUAUUGGUCAAUGGGCGCGAGCCUGAACCAGCCAAGUCGCGUGAGGGAAGACGGUCCUAUGGAUUGUAAACCUCUUUUGUCGGGGAGCAAAAGACGCCACGCGUGGCCUUCCGAGAGUACCCGAAGAAAAAGCAUCGGCUAACUCCGUGCCAGCAGCCGCGGUAAUACGGAGGAUGCGAGCGUUAUCCGGAUUUAUUGGGUUUAAAGGGUGCGCAGGCGGAAUAUCAAGUCAGCGGUAAAAGUGAGAGGCUCAACCUCCUCGAGCCGUUGAAACUGGUUGUCUUGAGUGCGCGAGAAGUAUGCGGAAGGCGCGGUGUAGCGGUGAAAUGCAUAGAUAUCACGCAGAACUCCGAGUGCGAAGGCAGCAUACCGGCGCUCAACUGACGCUCAUGCACGAAAGUGUGGGUAUCGAACAGGAUUAGAUACCCCGGUAGUC